ACUACGGGCGGCAGCAGUGAGGAAUAUUGGUCAAUGGACGAGAGUCUGAACCAGCCAAGUAGCGUGAAGGAUGACUGCCCUAUGGGUUGUAAACUUCUUUUAUAAAGGAAUAAAACGAGGCACGUGUGCCUUUUUGCAUGUACUUUAUGAAUAAGGAUCGGCUAACUCCGUGCCAGCAGCCGCGGUAAUACGGAGGAUCCGAGCGUUAUCCGGAUUUGGUGGGUUUAAAGGGAGCGUAGAUGGGUUGUUAAGUCAGUUGUGAAAGUUUGCGGCUCAACCGUAAAAUUGCAAUUGCUACUGGCAUUCUUGAGUACAGUUGAGGUAGGCGGAAUGCGUGGUGUAGCGGUGAAAUGCUUAGAUAUCACGAAGAACCCCGAUUGCGAAGGCAGCUUACUAAACUGUGACUGACAUUGAUGCUCGAAAGUGUGGGUAUCAAACAGGAUUAGAUACCCUUGUAGUC
rnacentral:rRNA from 1 species